AAGGUCCCAAGGGUUUGGCUGUUCGCCAAUUAAAGUGGUACGCGAGCUGGGUUCAGAACGUCGUAAGACAGUUCGGUCCUUAUCCGUCGUGGGCGUAGGAUAUUUGAGAAGAUCUGUCUCUAGUACGAGAGGACCGAGAUGGACGAACCUCUGGUGUUCCAGUUGUUUACCAAAAGCAACGCUGGGUAGCUAGGUUCGGAAGGGAUAACCGCUGAAAGCAUCUAAGUGGGAAGCCUACUUCAAGAUUAGAUAUCCCGUAGUUGGAAUUGAGUUUUUUAGGUUCGCUUAGAAGAUGAUAAGAAGAUUACUUUGAAGAUCCCUUGAAGACUACAAGGUUGAUAGGCUGGGUGUGGAAGUAUCGUAAGAUAUGGAGCUAACCAGUACUAAUAGAUCGAUAGUUUUAUCUAU
rnacentral:ncRNA from 1 species